rnacentral:lncRNA from 1 species
AGUCCGAAUAUUCAACAUCCGAUACUGUAUCUGUAUCCGAAUACUUAAAUCGUAUAUUUAGGAUAUCAAUGUCCAAUCAUAUCUUAUCCGACAGAAUUGAUAUUAUCCGUAUUUGAAUCCGAAUUCGGCCAAAAAUAUAAAAACAAAUAUAGUAUCAAUGAUAUCCGUCUGUAUCCAGAGUUUACUUUCGCGCGUAUACGUACGUACUUGGUCUACAAAGGAGCAGUUACGGCUAUCGUGCGCGAUACAUACU